CCUGUCUCCCCAGUCUCCUUUCUGGGAGGGCUUUUCCUCCUCUUCCGUUUGCCCGCAGUCUGGGAAUCAAAGAAUCCUUAUCAGUGCUUCCUUCCUCUCAGAAAGCUGGAAUUCGCAGUGUCCACCCCAAAUGUCUAUUGGCCUAAGCAAAUUCUUCCAAACCCCGAAGAGCUGAGAAAAGGGCUGGAUAUGGCAGGGGGCUGCAGCAGGCUGCCAACGAUGGAGGUUGGAGGAAAAUACUCCCCUUUACCACAGCUCUAAGGGGGUGGGAUAAAUACGUGGCUAUCUCUAGUUCCUCAUGUCUUAUUUCUACCUCUCUGCCUAACAUCUAUUUAUCUCUGGUUUUCCUCCCCACAUGUCUAGGGCAUGGCUUUGACAUUCAGUCAAACUAGUGAAGACACAUGAUUACCCAUUUUCUGCUACCCAAAAUAAUCUCUCUCUCUCUGUCUCUCUCUGUGAAGCAAAUUGCUCUUUGCUGCUAAGGAAAGUAUUAAAGGUGCCAUAGCACCGGCAGCUCCUUCUUGGGAUACGCUGUGGUGCUACAAAAGAUCUCUAAAAUUUGGCAGCAUCUCCAUGAAGGCGGCCCAGAUGGCUGAUGUUAGCAAGCAGUGGGGAAUGAAAGGUCUGAUUGGAAUCUGAGGGUGCCAGCCCUUGAGAAACUGAUUUGUAGAGAGUCAAAGCCCAUUUUGGUGGUGGUGCUGCUGCUUUGUUGGGUCAACGUUCUGCUCCAGAAUUCCGUAUUUUAGGCUAGCAGCAUAACGAAGCCUUGGGCAGCAUCUGCUGCACCUUUCCCAGUACAUGGGACUGUGAUUGGUGUUACCAGUCACAGCCAGAAGAUCUGCCUUCUGAUUCCCCAGUGGGAGACAAGCCAAACCAACUUGCAGAGCAAGCCAAAGAAUUGUUGAUUAGACACUUCUUUUAGCAUGGAGUGUUCUGCCCUUUUAGCUGUCCUGGUUAUAUAGGCCAAAUCAGUUACUAGAUUAAAAGGUUGUUGGAAUUUUUUAAAUGCUCUGACAUCAGCAGCCAACUCAGGAAUUUGGGGGGUUCCUUCAAUGACUUGAACAUCCUACUCCCACUUCUGAGUGUUUGGAUCCUUCCAAGUGAUAACCGAUUUGUGUGAUUUUCCAGAGCGAUCUGUAAAAACUGUGAGGGCUUUAAGAGGAACCUUACCUUUUAGAGAAUUUGGGACUAGAUGGAAUGUUUCUUUUAGUAGCUUGUGUUUUGGAUAAUGAAUAGAGACUUGUCCGGGAUAGCUGUCUAAAUCAAACUGAAGGUAUCCAUUUGUCUGUAAUAGCGAUUCUAAUUUGUGUAGUUGAAAUGCUGGAUAAAUGUAUGUUGGGUCACACGCUGCAGGGGUUCGGAGGUGGUUCCUGUCUUUAAUGAUUAACUGAGCUAAAAGCUCUUGAGGGAUUGUAAUAGUUUUUUUGGUGUGGCAAAAAUACCCAUUCUACAAUUAACAAUUUUUCUGUAGAAGACGGGUCCCACUGAAAAAGCAGUGCCUGGAAAUGUGGGGAUUUACCAAGACUAGCAAACUGGGAGGUUAGAGAGCAGUCAGCGCGGUGUGCUUUUCGAGAUGAGAUAGCAGGUGCUACCUUUUGCAGCGCGUCGUGGGCAUCUGGAGUUAAGAUGCGCUGGGAAGUCAGGUCAUGGCUCCCCUUCAGUAGGCUGAACAAAGGGCACAGCUCUUCUCUCGUGAGUCCAAGCAGUGGUCGGAUCCAGGUGAUGGAGCCACACAACUGUUGUAUGUCCCUUAGCAUUUGAGCCUUAUCUUUGAUGGAGAUAUUUUGGGGAAUAAUGGCUCACCCGCUGAUAAGGAAUCCAAGGUACUUCCACAGGGAGGUCUACUGGGUUUUUCAGGAGCAAUAUCAAAACCUGCAUCUUCAACUGCUGUCACAGUCUUUCUGAUCACUGGGUUAAGGUAAGUCUUUUCUUGGGAGCAAAUUAAAAUGUCGUCCAUAUAAUGCCGAAAUAUAGCUUCAGGGAAGGCUUUCCUGAUUGGAGAUAGAAUCCCAGCCACAAACAUUUGACAUAAAACAGGGGAAGUUUUCAUUCCCUGUGGCAAUGUGACCUAAUGAUAUCUUUUAAAGGGUUCUUGACAGUUGAUUGGUAUCGAAAAUGCGAAUUUGGGAGUGCGGGACAGAGAGGGAUGUUGAAUAAACAGUCUUUGAUAUCAAGGAUUGUGAGCUGCCAGUCCCUGGGAAGUACAGAAGGUGAGGGGAGCCCUGGUUGCAAGGAGCCCAUGUCUUCUAAAACAUCAUUUACUUUCCAAAAGUCUUGUAAUAACCUCCAUCUGUCUUUGCCAGGUUUUUUAUAAAAAGACAUGGGUCAGGAGCUAGUUGAUGGUACAAUGUGUCCUUUUAAUAAUUGUUCCUGUACUGAGGCAUGGAGCACUUCUAAUUUGUCAUUUGGAAGGCCCAAUGAUCCACCCACACAGGAUCAUACCCACAGGGAGGGAUCAUACCUUUUCCCACAGAUGGACAACAGCCAUAUUGAGUGGUUUAGUUUUCAUUUCUUUUUAAUUCCCAAAGUUUCAUUUUUUUCAACAUUGUAAUACAGCAUCUCUAUUCAAAUCAUUAUACUCACCUUGGUUAAUUAAAUAUUUAUUAAUUUAUUUUGCCCCCAUAAUAUCAGACAAAAGCAUAGGACAAAAGCAUAGGAAGAACAACAAGCAAUUACAGAAAUACAGUAUCUUCCCUGAAAAUCCCUUGGAAACCAUGUUAAAACAAUGGGAAGAACAUCAACUUACUAAAGAUAAAGACCCACAGCUCAAGAUUGUGCAUUGCAUGUUAGAAUGGCCAAAGAAGAAAUUAAAACAAGGUCUUCGCUGGCUGAAGCAUGGGUCUACCAGGAUGUGGAUUUGCGAAGUACUUUACAAUUACGCCCAAAAUAAAUUAAAUGCAGACUGGAAUUGCAGUAUGUGGAGGUCUGGUUUAAAUAUUGGAACAGCGAAAAGGAAGUAGAAACAGAUAAACCAAAUUCUCUCUGUAAUGAUCAAUGAUAAAGACACAACAAGGAAAACCAAUCAACCAAGGUGGGACUCAUUAAAUUUCCUCCCCCCUACUGCACCUCCCAACGAACCAGCUGCAACUGCAGCUGAGUCAUUGGAGGCUUCAAUGAGUCAUGUAACUGAGAGGGCUGAAGAAAUUGAAAGUAGCAGUGGGACAUCAGAAGAAACGUAUAUUCUAUCAUUCUCCUCCAGGCAAAUUACAAAUUCAGCCAUGCAGGAAGUUCCAUCCAAUCAAGAAGGUCCAGCCUUCUUCACUUGAAGGAGAACCCUGGUAGUACAAAAAUGUUCCUCCUGCUCCAGCAGUAAAGAUAAAACAAAGGUGGCAUCCCUCAGAGAGGUCCCAAUGGAGGGUGCACAAGGUGGAAUAGGAUAUGUAAAUGCACCCCUCACCUCUUCAGAAGUGAGGCAUUUUAAAAAGGAAAUGGAGAUAUUAUUCAGUGACCCAGUAGGUAUGUCAGAAAAAGUUUACCAGUUCUUAGGCUCUAGGAUUUACCCUAGGGGAAAAUGAAAUUCAAUAAUGCAAACCCUUUUCUCUCCAGAGAAGAGAAAAGUUAUUUAGACUGCAGGGAUCAAUAUAUUGGACAGAGAACAUAAUUUAGGAACAACUGGAGAGAAGAAAUUACCAUUAACAGAUCCAGAAUGGAACCCUAACUCAGAUGAGGGAAGAAAAAGUAUAGCAGAAUACAGAACCCGAAUUGUAAGGGGAAUAAAAGAGGCAGUCCCCAGAGUUAAUAACAUGAAGAAAGCCUUUGGUAGCAAACAAUAAAAACAUGAGAGCCCAACUGACUGUAUAACUCGCUUAAAUAAUAACAUCCAAUUAUAUUUAGAAAGAGAUUUAGGUAGUGAAGGAGGGAAGACAAUGUUCUAGGUCCACUUUGGGUUACAUUCUUGGCCUGACAUAAAACAGAAAUUAGAGAAAUUAGAUGGAUGGCCAGAAAGAAGUUUAGAUGAGUUAUUAGCUGAAGCACAGUAAGUUUAUGCCAGGUGAAAUGAAGAGAAAAUGAAGACUAAAGCUAAGAUGAUGGCUGCUGUCCAAAUUCCUAAACCAAUUAGGCAGGAUGGGGAGAAUAUUCAAUUGAAGAAACCUAUUUGCUUUUAUUGUAAGAAAGAAGACCAUAUGCAAUCCUGCUGUUUUAAGACAUUGAGGGACUUAAGAGAUUCUCCAAGUGGAGAAUCAACCCUCAGAGAACUGAGGGGGUCAGGGGCUCUUCUUCUUGGGGCACAAAAACCAUCUUCAAGAGCCCUUGAUAAAAUCAAGGAUAGGACCCCUAGAACAAUUAAUGGAAUUUUUAGUAGACACAGGAGCAGAGACAACUUGUUUAACUGAAAAACCAAAUGCAUGUGCCAUAAGCAAAGACACUUUCAAUAUUUGUGCUGCUAAAGGGGAAUCCUUCCCCAUUCCCAUCAUUAAGAAUGUCACUAUAAAGGGUAAUGGACUAACCAGAAAGGGAGAUUUGUUUUUCUACCUCCAGCAGGUAACAACUUACUUGGCCAGGAUCUCCAGAUACCUUUGAAAGUUGGAGUAGUUCCACAAGAAGGAAGGAUGAAGGUCAUUUUGUUUACUUUAUCCACACAAGAUGAAAACUGAUUAAUCCUACAGUGUAAGCCCAACCAGAUUCUCCUUCUAGACACCUGUUUGCUUCCACCUGGGAAGAUCCAGACACUGGAAGGAAACAGCAGCUCACCUGGACCUGGUGACUGCAAGGGUACAUGGAGUCUCCCACACUCUUCGGUCAAGCCUUGGAGAGCCUGUUCAUUCCCUUUUCUCCACCCUCAGGAAUACAAGUAACACAGUAUGUAGAUGACAUACUACUCUCCAGAGAGCAAGAAUCCACUGUAAAAUUAGGCACCAUUCAGUUACUGAACCUUCUAGGAGAGAAUGGACUAAUAGUAUCUAAAUCCAAAUUACAAUUUGUUAAACCAAAGUAAAAUAUUUCGGACAUGUAAUUGGUCAUGGUACCAGAAAAUUGAGUACUGAAAGGAUAGAAGGGAUUUUAAAUUUACAACCUCCCCAAACAAAGAGCGAGGUUAGACAAUUAUUAGGCUUAAUGAGGUACUGUAGAAUAUGGAUUGAUGAAUACACACAAAGUGUCACAAUUUUAUAUGAAAAAUUAACUACAUCAGAACCUAUUAAUUGGACCCAAGAGGAUAAUAAAAACUUAGAAAAUUUAAAGCAAAAGAUGAUUCAGACCCCAGUUCUCUUUCUUCUUUCACUAGAAGAAGAUUUUCACCGCUAUAUUAACAUAGACAAAGGAAUUCCUUAUGAGGUCUUGGCCCAAGAGUGGUCAGGAAUCCAUAAACCUGUAGCCUACUUGUCCAUAUUGUUGGUCCCUGUGUCCCAAGGAUGGCAAACAUGCAUCCAACCAAUCACUGCAGCAGCCAUCCUAGUAACAGCCAGCCAAAAACUUACAUUUGAGAGAAAUCUGACAGAAUACAUACCACACUCCACCCAAACCAUUCUUAAACAACGAGCAGCCGAAUGGCUAACAGACUCUCAUAUUAUACAAUAUGGGAGCACCCUCAUCCAUUCCACAACUGUAACCCUGAAAACAACCACCCACACCAAUCCUGCACAGUUCCUAUGUGGAAUUCCCCAAAAACAAGAUCUCGUGCACAACUGCAUAGUUUUUAUAAACCUGCAAACAAAAAUUCAAGAAGACCUCCUAGAGAGCCCAUUAGAUGAAGGAGAAAUCCUGUUCAUCGACGGAUCAUCUAGAGUAGUAAAUGGAAAGAGGUGCUCUGGAUACUCCAUCAGAGAUGGAAAAGAACUGUACAGGUUAGAAAAGGAAAACUACCACCUUCCUGGUCUACCCAGGUAUGUGAAUUAGAUGCUUUGGAAAAAGCAUUGCACAGACUAGACAGAGCUAUUGGAACCAUUUAUACGGACUCUAAAUAUGCAUAUGGAGUAGUCCACACGUUUGGGAAAAGCUGGGCUGAAAGAGGGUUUCCCACAUCUAAGGCCAAAGACAUUUUACACAAAGAACUUAUAUUAAAAAUUUUAGAGGCACUUAAGUUACCGAAAGAAAUUGCAAUGGUACGUGUUCCAGGUCAUCAAAAGGGAACUCUGGAGAAACCAGAGGAAACAUCCUAGCAGACCAUGCUGCAAAGGAGGCUGCUUUUGAGGGGGAAUUAAAGGUAUACAGAUUUUAUCCAAGAGACACACCCGAGAGUACACCAGAUAACACCCUUCCUAUCCCUAUUUUUAAAGACAAUGAAAAACAGAAACUCAUAUCACUAGCUGGAAAGGAAGAUUCUGAGGGAUGGUGGCAUCUUCCUGAUGGCCAUUAAAUGUUAAAUAAAGAGCUCACUCGAGAAAUUUUACAGAACCUCCACCAAUCCACACACUGGGGAUCUAAAGCUUUAGCAGAUCACUUUCUUCAGAAUUUUGGAUGUCGGGGAAUUGAUUAAUUAGCUAAUCAAAUUACCAUAGGUUGUAUAAUUUGCCAAAAAGUCAAUAGAAAAUUAACGAGGAGAACGAGACCUGGAAGAAUUGAAAUUGCAAUUAGACCCUUCCAAAGUAUUCAAAUUGAUUUCACAGAAAUGCCCCAUGCCCAAAGAUGGAAGUAUUUCUUACUGAUUGUAGAUCACCUUACCAAUGGGGUUGAAGCAUUUCCACUGUUAAUGCCACUGCUCAAACAGUAAGUAAGGUAAUCCUAGAAGAGAUAGUCCCAAGAUAUGGAAUUAUAAAUAACAUUGAUUCAGACCAAGGUACCCAUUUUACAUCAUUAGUAUUGCAGCAGUUGGCUCAACAAUUAGGAAUAACUUGGAAAUUACAUACCCCUGGCACCCUCAAAGUUUGGGAGGGGUAGAACGCAUGAAUCAGACUAUUAGAACAACCCGGACCAAACUGAUGUUAGAAAUGAAGUGGACUUGGAUAAAAUGCCUACCCCUUGCCCUUCUCAGAAUCCAGAGCUAACCCAGAGCUGACUUAGGUUGUUCCCCAUAUGAAAUGUUAUACAGGCUUCCCUAUUUAGCCACCCCGCAUCAAGUAACUGCCAAAGAGUGAGGAAAUAUAAAUGUGCAAAGGGAUAUUCAAAUGAUUGCCCAGAAUCUAAAAGACUUAAAGCAGAGAGGUCUUGUACCCCAGAACAUUCCUUUAGACUUCUAUUUACAUAAGAUAUGCCCCAGAGAGUAGGUACUUAUUAAAUGCUGGAAGGAACAAUCCCUGACUCCAUCAGGGGAAGGUCCUUUCCAAGUUCAACUGACCACAGAGACAGCCAUCCGAGCACAGGAAAAAGGGUGCACUUCCGUCAGCCGAGUAAAAGGUCCAGUAACACCACCGCAAGAUAACGAGAAACCUCCAUGAACUACUCUCUACAACAGUCCUCCCCGGUGUUAUUCCUGAAAUUAUUAUAUCAAUUGUUAUUCUCUCACUGUUUUACAGUAGAGAAUCUAAUGGUUAUUGUACUUACUUUUUAACAAGUUAUUAUGAAUUUUCAAUUCCAUUUCUCCACCAGUGAAGAGUAUCAUUUCCCUGAGAAAUGACCUUUCCUCUCCAAUAACUAUGUCUUUUUUUUUUUUUUUUUUUUUUUAAAUUUCCUUAGGAGAAACAACAUGAAUAGAACCAAGGCCAGUUCCAGGUAGGACUUUCCUGCAUUUAGGUCCCUUCCUGCAUCCAGGUACACUCCCAUGAAAACCAAGGGGUCUGAACCCAGUAGGAAAACCAGAGAGGUUGAAUGGUCUGCACCACCUAUCAAAGAGUACCACAGCACUUCAAUCUUCCCAUUGACCCCUGAGCGAGGGAAGGGAAGGUGCGCCCUACUCCUCAUACUCUCCCUCUGGAUCCUGUAGAUCCCCCUUGUCAGAGCCUGCAUCUGCUGCCACCAAUGCUAACAUACAGUGUACCUGACCAAAGGAAACUCCUACCUCAUAAAACACUCAUUCCAGGCACAUUCUUAUGUAAAUCCCUUUUGUUAUAAUAUGAUGACACUGAGUAGAUACUGACAAUCGGACAAAAACCAAUGGAUUGGUAGAAAUAUUGGAAAUGCAAACCAGAAAAGGAAUGGAGAGUGUCCUGAUCAAGAGAUUUGGCUAUAUGUCAAAUUUAAUUAUAUAACGAAAAAGAAGGAUUUGUUAAAAAGGAAAACUUAUGAUGUUGAUUUGAUUCGAGAAAUUGUAAUAACUGAAAGGGGGAAACAAAAGGGGGACAAUCCAUUAGCUACCGAUAAAAACUUAUUUACUGUUUUAGCAGAACAAAUUAGUAAAAAUCAAAAUAUAACCAAUUGUUGGGUUUGUGGAGGCACCUUCAAAUCAGAAGCCUGGCCUCAGCAAGGAGUCAGUAUUGGACCCCUCAAAUGACUUAAACUAAAUUAUUUCCCCUCCCAAACUCCAAGAGAUCAAGACAAUUGGCUAUUGAGGGACACAGUUCUUGGAGAAGAAUGUAUCUGGAGAAAAGGAAAAAGAUACACUGAGGAAGUUGGAGAAACUACCUGUAAAAGAUAUUUACUAACUGAGGAUCACAAGACAUGGUGGAUACUGAACGAACCAGAUACCUUUUGGUCAAAGAAGAAAAUCAGAAACAAGAACUGCAUAUUACAUCCCAAUGAACAACUUUAUCAGUGCUGGGACCCUAAAAGUCAGCCUUUAUUCAGUAUUACCCCAAGUUUCUAAGUAUUGGACCUCCACUUUUAUCACGCUUUCACAUUUUUGGGAGGCCCCCCAAGGUUUAUACUGGAAUUGUGGGCAAAGAGCAUAUUCUAAACUCCCUUCUCACUGGUGUGGCAAUUGUACCUUAGGAGCAAUACGACCUAGCCCCUUUCUACUAUCAGAAGCAGCUGGAAACCAGCUCGGAGUUCCCCUAGAUGAUAAAUUAAAGAGACAAAAAAGAUGUGAAAUAGGGGGAAUGUAACAAUGGGGUGAGGAAGAGUGGCCACCAGAGAGAAUUUUAGAAACUUACGGACCUGCCACUUGGGCUCAGGAUGGGAGCUGGGGCUAUCAAACUCCCAUUUACAUGCUAAAUCACAUUACUGGACUACAAGCCCUGAUUCACGUCAUAUCUAAUCAGGCCAAGAGUGCAAUUGAUUUUUUCAACGCCCAACAGAAGCAAAUGAAAACAGCUGUAUAUCAAAACUCUUUAGCCCUAGAUUAUUUAUUAGCCAAAGAGCGUGGAAUAUGCGGCAAUUUCAACACAUCAGACUAUUGUCUGCAUAUUGAUGACCAUGGUGAAACUAUUACUAAAAUUACCCAAAACAUCAGAAAGCUUACACAUGUUCCAGUCCAGUUUUCACCUGAUUAGUGGAAAAAUAUGUUCUCUAGGGAGUGGUAGAAGAAAGCCUUAAUUAUUUUUCGAGUUUCCUUAGUUAGCCUUCUCUUUCUCCCAUGCUUAAUCCCAUGUUUCAUUCAUCUAAUUACCUCAGUAGUACAAAGCAUGUUCGCUAGUCAAAAUCUUCAAACGAGCCAACAUUCUAUGCCUACUGUCAAGAAAAUCAUAAAUCUCAAUCCAAUCAAAACAGAUAGGAAAACGGGUAAAAAGGCCCAGCAAGUUUAGAUUAAUUUUAAACAAUUAAACACUAUCAACAAAGAACUUUUACAUUUAUGUAAAUGCAAAAGCCAAUUACUAACAUAAGAGAAAGAGGGAGGAACUGUCAUUUAUAAAAUCCCUUACAUGGCUUUUGCAUUUGUGACUGGUUUAUAUUUGUAACUGUUAAUUAGCUUUUGCAUUUAUAACUGUUUAAAGUUACUAGUUUGAUCAAGUAAAAGUGUUCAAAUUAAUGAAGUAAAUAAUAUAAAAUCAUUAUCAAGUUAUACUAGCUAUUCAGUAGAUCCCAACUGAAUGUUUAACAGUCCUGUUAAAAUAGGUAGCAAAAUAAGAACUAUAUUAUUUUUAUAAUCCUUUGUUCUUAACCUAAUUACAUUAUUUGUAAAUUUAAUUAUCUCUUUUUAGUAGCCUUAUACUUUCAAAGUUCCCAGUGCAGUUUCCUCUCACCAACAGCAUGCAGCAUUUUACAGACAAUUUCUAGCCCACUCCAGGUUGAACUGGUAACUUGAUGCCACAGCAAUGGUGCAUACUAAUGAGAGAGCUUCCCAUCAAAAACCUCAGAGAUAUCAUCCCACCCCAGUGACAGCACACUCUGGGAAAGAAGAUCUUACCCCAUCAUCUACUAGCACCAAUCACCUGAGACUAUGGGGGCAGGACUGCAAGUACAGACUGAGGGGACCGAGAACAUCAAAGGGGCAGCCUGGCCUGAAGAGCUGUCUUUGCUGUCUUUUACUGUUCCUGGGACUGUGACUUAGCUACAGCAGGGGACCCCACACUGCAGAUUUCAGUCAAUAUCUCUUUUUAGAGACCUUAUUCCAGAUUUGAGGGCAGACUAAGUGCAUUCACUGCAAUGCCCUCGGGUUCUUGCCUUGGGGCCAGACGCCAGUUCAGCUAGAGGUUUCCUCAAUCCUUGGGCCUGGGACUUUAUCCUUUUUUCUUUCUUUCCUUUCUUCUUUUUCCUUACCUCCCUUUUUGUUUUUCCCCUUUAAAUAAACACCCUAUUUUUGUUCAAA